AGACGGAGGGUGCUAGCGUUGUUCGGAAUUACUGGGCGUAAAGCGCGCGUAGGCGGUUUGUUAAGUCGGAUGUGAAAGCCCCGGGCUCAACCUGGGAAUGGCAUUCGAUACUGCAGAACUAGAGUAUGGUAGAGGGAAGUGGAAUUUCCGGUGUAGCGGUGAAAUGCGUAGAUAUCGGAAGGAACACCGGUGGCGAAGGCGACUUCCUGGGCCAAUACUGACGCUGAGGUGCGAAAGCGUGGGGAGCAAACAGGAUUAGAUACCCCAGUAGUCC
rnacentral:rRNA from 1 species